UACGGGGGGGUAAGCGUUGUUCGGAAUUACUGGGCGUAAAGGGCUCGUAGGCGGCCAACUAAGUCGGACGUGAAAUCCCUCAGCUUAACUGGGGAACUGCGUCCGAUACUGGAUGGCUUGGAUUCGGGAGAGGAAUGCGGAAUUCCAGGUGUAGCGGUGAAAUGCGUAGAUAUCUGGAGGAACACCGGUGGCGAAGGCGGCAUUCUGGACCGACAUUGACGCUGAGGAGCGAAAGCCAGGGGAGCAAACGGGG
rnacentral:rRNA from 1 species